rnacentral:guide_RNA from 1 species
AUAUAUAGAUGACCACCAUUACUCU